UGGGGAAUCUUCCGCAAUGGGCGAAAGCCUGACGGAGCAACGCCGCGUGAGUGAAGACGGCCUUCGGGUUGUAAAACUCUGUGAUUCGGGACGAAAGAUAAGCAGACGAAUAAUCUGCAUAAGUGACGGUACCGAAAAAGCAAGCCACGGCUAACUACGUGCCAGCAGCCGCGGUAAUACGUAGGUGGCAAGCGUUGUCCGGAAUUAUUGGGCGUAAAGCGCGCGCAGGCGGACUAGCCAGUCAGUCUUAAAAGUUCGGGGCUUAACCCCGUGAUGGGAUUGAAACUACUAGUCUAGAGUAUCGGAGAGGAAAGUGGAAUUCCUAGUGUAGCGGUGAAAUGCGUAGAUAUUAGGAAGAACACCAGUGGCGAAGGCGACUUUCUGGACGAACACUGACGCUGAGGCGCGAAAGCCAGGGGAGCGAACGGG
rnacentral:rRNA from 1 species